rnacentral:rRNA from 1 species
UACAGAGGUCUCAAGCGUUAUUCGGAUUCAUUGGGCGUAAAGGGUGCGUAGGCGGCGCCGUAAGUCAGGUGUGAAAUUUCGGAGCUUAACUCCGAAACUGCAUUUGAUACUGCGGUGCUUGAGGACUGGAGAGGAGACUGGAAUUUACGGUGUAGCAGUGAAAUGCGUAGAGAUCGUAAGGAAGACCAGUGGCGAAGGCGGGUCUCUGGACAGUUCCUGACGCUGAGGCACGAAGGCCAGGGGAGCAAACGGG